CCAAAAGGCAAGUUAGCUUUUUUCAUCUUGAACCCGUAGGCUUCUAAGGCAAGAAAAGAAGAAAAAUUUUCUCAAGCACUCAAGUUCCUCACCGUGCGACACUACUACCCUUCUCUCCUAUUUCCAUUAUUUUUCCAAUCUUAAGCCAAGCACCCAUUAUUUCUUCUUCUCAAGUGAAAAAUAACAAGGUAAUGACAAAGAGGCUAGGGAGCAGGGCAUUACUGCAAGAGGGAGAGGCAGACACUUAGUGUCUCCCCUGUUGGUUCAACCUUACAUGGAUGAUGGGUUAUGUCUAUCGAUGUUGUUUUUAUGUUGGGAUGAGUCCCUUGUCUACUUCAUGUAUUUCCUCUACACUUAUUUCCUUACAUCGCCAUGAGUGUACACGCCGACACCAUAUGUGCAACAUCGGACCAUCGUUGGGGGUAUUGAACCACGCCGUUCGAGGCUUAGAUCACCUUAGUGGGCCGGGAAUGACUAUUUCUCUCCUUUCAGCAUGUUGUACAAUUUUUAGAAUAUCAACAGUGGCGUUUUCUGUGAAAUCUGAUCACUUUCUAAAUUGGAGGUGGGAGAAUGAUGCUUUUCUGAUACACUAAAUAAUCAUCGAGUGGGUGGAGAGAAGUCUCCUAGAUAAGUGUUCUUGAACUUGCGACUUUUAUUUUUAUAAAUAUUAUAUAUAUAUAUAUUGAAGCAA